rnacentral:misc_RNA from 1 species
GAUGAAGAACGUAGCGAAAUGCGAUAAGUAAUGUGAAUUUCAGAAUUCAGUGAAUCAUCGAAUCUUUGAACGCACAUUGCGCCCUCCGGCAUUCCGGGGGGCAUGCCUGUCCGAGCGUCACGAAGACCCCAUCACACUCGUUGUGGUCAUGGCUGCAGUGAGUCGUCUCCAGCGGAGAGGGUCACGCCGCUGAAAGGAAUGGUGCGGAUGAGUUCCGAUGGCCGAACGUAGUACUUGACAACCGUCGGCCGAUGGGACCCUCCAUCUCGCCCUGACGACGUACCCCCGUCGUACCCCCGAUCAGGUGGACCUCGGAUCAGGUAGGGAUACCCGCUGAACUUAAGCAUAUCAAUAAGCGGAGGA